CAAUUCUGCAAAUUACUUAAAAUAAUUCUGUAAAAUUUUAAAAAUCCUUUAACGUGUCUUUUGAAAACCAGAGAUUGUAGCUUGUUCUAAAGUUUUACAAAAAAAACAGGAAUCGGGGAGCUACACAGUAAGCACAUCGCAAGAAGUGGACAAAGCAAACAACAGGGGGGUUUGAGGGCCUGUUGGUGACCAGGCCAGGGGAGCAGAGAGGUCAGUUUCCUACUGCCAGUGUACAACCACAGGUACAGAUGUGAGCUUCUUGUCACUCCAGGUCAAGAAAUGGGAUCUUUGCCCUGUUGCAUGAAAAACAAUAUCAAUAAAAUUUAAAUACAUCACCUGAGAAAAAUGGCAGGGUGGAAGUAUUAUUGAUCCUGAACUUUCCUUAUUUUUCAGACGACUUCGGAGUUGUCAAAGGAAAUAGCCCUGGAAUUAUAUAACACAAGUAAAAUCUGUCAAGCUUUGUCCUUUGAGCUCAUCCUGAAUUCAGCUGAGGAAGCCGCACCAGUCAGGAAGAUUCCUGGAAACGACGAUUCUGGAGACCUGGCUCAGAUUGUCCUACAGCAGCAGAGACACAGAGGGCCACACCCUGACCAAGGCCCCUGGAGACCUGGCUCAGAUUGUCCUAUGAGCGAAGAAUAAGACUACAGUUUAGAUUAUGGGGGAAAUUAUGGAAAUCUAUAAAAUUAUUUUGAACAGUGAGUAUCAUUCUCCUGGUGCUAUUUGUGAAAAAUAUACAA
rnacentral:lncRNA from 1 species